rnacentral:rRNA from 1 species
UACGUAGGUGGCAAGCGUUGUCCGGAUUUAUUGGGUUUAAAGGGUGCGUAGGCGGCCUUGUAAGUCAGUGCUGAAAUAUCCCGGCUUAACCGGGAGGGUGGCAUUGAUACUGCAGGGCUUGAGUAAAGUUGAGGUUGGCGGAAUUGACGGUGUAGCGGUGAAAUGCUUAGAUAUCGUCAAGAACACCGAUAGUGAAGACAGCUUACUAGGCUUAUACUGACGCUGAGGCACGAAAGUGUGGGGAUCAAACAGG